ACUGUAGUCUGCAACCCGACUACACGAAGCUGGAAUCGCUAGUAAUCGCGGAUCAGAAUGUCGCGGUGAAUACGUUCCCGGGUCUUGUACACACCGCCCGUCACACCAUGGGAGUCGGGAAUGCCCGAAGUCAGUGACCCAACCUAUUGGAGGGAGCUGCCGAAGGCAGGUCUGAUAACUGGGGUGAAGUCGUAACAAGGUAUC
rnacentral:rRNA from 1 species